UACGUAGGUGGCAAGCGUUGUCCGGAUUUACUGGGCGUAAAGAGCGCGCAGGCGGUCGUUCAAGUCGAGUGUGAAAGCCCCCGGCUCAACUGGGGAGGGUCACUCGAUACUGAUCGACUCGAAGGCAGAAGAGGGAAGCGGAAUUCCCGGUGUAGCGGUGAAAUGCGUAGAGAUCGGGAAGAACACCAGUGGCGAAAGCGCUCUACUGGGCCUCAUCUGACACUGAGGGACGAAAGCUAGGGGGAGCGAAAGGG
rnacentral:rRNA from 1 species